AGAGUUUGAUCCUGGCUCAGAUUGAACGCUGGCGGCAUGCCUUACACAUGCAAGUCGAACGGCAGCACGGGGGCAACCCUGGUGGCGAGUGGCGAACGGGUGAGUAACAUAUCGGAACGUGCCCUGGAGUGGGGGAUAACUAGUCGAAAGAUUAGCUAAUACCGCAUACGAUCUACGGAUGAAAGUGGGGGAUCGCAGGACCUCAUGCUCGUGGAGCGGCCGAUAUCUGAUUAGCUAGUUGGUGGGGUAAAAGCCUACCAAGGCAUCGAUCAGUAGCUGGUCUGAGAGGACGACCAGCCACACUGGGACUGAGACACGGCCCAGACUCCUACGGGAGGCAGCAGUGGGGAAUUUUGGACAAUGGGCGCAAGCCUGAUCCAGCAAUGCCGCGUGAGUGAAGAAGGCCUUCGGGUUGUAAAGCUCUUUUGUCAGGGAAGAAACGGUGAGGGCUAAUAUCCCUUGCUAAUGACGGUACCUGAAGAAUAAGCACCGGCUAACUACGUGCCAGCAGCCGCGGUAAUACGUAGGGUGCAAGCGUUAAUCGGAAUUACUGGGCGUAAAGCGUGCGCAGGCGGUUGUGCAAGACCGAUGUGAAAUCCCCGGGCUUAACCUGGGAAUGGCAUUGGUGACUGCACGGCUAGAGUGUGUCAGAGGGGGGUAGAAUUCCACGUGUAGCAGUGAAAUGCGUAGAGAUGUGGAGGAAUACCGAUGGCGAAGGCAGCCCCCUGGGAUAACACUGACGCUCAUGCACGAAAGCGUGGGGAGCAAACAGGAUUAGAUACCCUGGUAGUCCACGCCCUAAACGAUGUCAACUAGUUGUCGGGUCUUAAUUGACUUGGUAACGCAGCUAACGCGUGAAGUUGACCGCCUGGGGAGUACGGUCGCAAGAUUAAAACUCAAAGGAAUUGACGGGGACCCGCACAAGCGGUGGAUGAUGUGGAUUAAUUCGAUGCAACGCGAAAAACCUUACCUACCCUUGACAUGGCAGGAAUCCCUGAGAGAUCAGGGAGUGCUCGAAAGAGAACCUGCACACAGGUGCUGCAUGGCUGUCGUCAGCUCGUGUCGUGAGAUGUUGGGUUAAGUCCCGCAACGAGCGCAACCCUUGUCAUUAGUUGCUACGAAAGGGCACUCUAAUGAGACUGCCGGUGACAAACCGGAGGAAGGUGGGGAUGACGUCAAGUCCUCAUGGCCCUUAUGGGUAGGGCUUCACACGUCAUACAAUGGUACAUACAGAGGGCCGCCAACCCGCGAGGGGGAGCUAAUCCCAGAAAGUGUAUCGUAGUCCGGAUUGCAGUCUGCAACUCGACUGCAUGAAGUUGGAAUCGCUAGUAAUCGCGGAUCAGCAUGUCGCGGUGAAUACGUUCCCGGGUCUUGUACACACCGCCCGUCACACCAUGGGAGCGGGUUUUACCAGAAGUAGGUAGCUUAACCGCAAGGAGGGCGCUUACCACGGUAGGAUUCGUGACUGGGGUGAAGUCGUAACAAGGUAACC
rnacentral:rRNA from 1 species